AAAACAGGCCUGGAGAUUAAAUGAGUUGGCCAGGGUUACACCCACAUACUGAGUCAGACGCAAAGCCACAAUUAGAACUGGACUACCUCGCUGGCAGCCUUCUAAAGAGUUUGGUUUUUAUGAGUUGUAUUGGGAACUGGAUGCAAAGCUGUUGUUCAAGCCAAAGACAGCAUCUAAUUAACUCCCUUGUGAGCAUCCCAGAAAUGGCAGGUAUCCAGUGGGUUCCUGACACCUUCAAGCAACGCUUUCUCUUCAAUCAAUUAUAUCCUUAAUUUAAUGGCUUCUGAAAAUAAACUAUUUUGCAACCCCUUUCCUACUUUUUAGAAAUACAUGCUGUUCUUAAAAGUGUUAGGCUAUCAGCUGUGCCAAGAAAUUCUCUGGCAAACAACUAAUUAUGUCCACAGAUAGCGUCUGACAAAAAUUUUGCUUCAAGCCACAAGUCAGAGGCUUAACCAUUGUUUGUGUCAAGUCACUUUACAGCUUGUGAUUUUGGUUAGUUGGGUGGGAAUGUGGCUGUGAAGCAGUGUUCUUUGUUUGAGGCACAGGCCCCCGCUUUAGCCAGCUUAUAGAGCCAUAAGUAAAAUGGCCUCUUUGCUUUCACUUAACAGGAUGCUGUUCACCUUUCUGCUCUGCUGAGCACCAUUUCAUGACUUCACAGCCCAGGAAUUAAACCCAACACACAAAGCAGCUUUACCAGUUAUUGUCUGCAGAUUAAAUUAAAUGCCUGUUCUCAUACAGUGUAUCUGAAUUGUAUCAGACCCACUUCUCAGUUUACACACUUGUUCCUGUCAGUAAGAGGCAGCUACUGAAAAAUGCUGCAGUCCUUGGGAGCCUGUCUCUCAGUGAUUCGAUGAAAGUACUGGGGAUUUUGUGUGUUCAACAUGAUGUUAAUUCUAUUGUGUUUCAUAAUGAAAAAAAUAGCUUAGUCUGCUAGUAUAACAUCAGUGUAUUUCAUUGGUGUAGCUACUGUCAGUAGCUCUGUUUUAUGCUGCAACUUCUGAAUUCCCACUGUCAUGGUGUUUGGCAGUUUGAAAUUUUGGUUUUGUUUUUGUUCAAAAUUUUGAGGAAUGAAUAAAAUUCAGAUU